UGCGGUUAAAAAGCUCGUAGUUGGAUUUCUGUUGAGGAUGACCGGUCCGCUCUUUGAGCGCGUAUCUGGUUCAGCCUUGGCAUCCUCUUGGGGAACGCUACUGUGCUUGAUUGCAUGGGGCGGUAUUCAAGACUUUUACUUUGAGGAAAUUAGAGUGUUCACUGCAAGCGUUAGCAAUUGAAUACAUUAGCAUGGAAUAAUAAUAUAGGACCUUGGUACUAUUUUGUUGGUUUCUAGAACUAAGGUAAUGAUUAAUAGGGACAAUUGGGGGCAUUCGUAUUAACGCGUCAGAGGUGGAAUUCUUAGAUUGCGUUACGACGAACUACUGCGAAAGCAUUUGCCAAGGAUGUUUUCAUUGAUCAAGAACGAAAGUAUGGGGAUCGAAGACGCUUAGAUACCGUCGUAGUCUAUACCAUAAACUAUGCCAACUAGAGAUUGGAGGUCGUUCUCUUUAUGACUCCUUCAGCACCUUAUGAGAAAUCAAAGUCUUUGGGUUCCGGGGGGAGUAUGGUCGCAAGGCUG
rnacentral:rRNA from 1 species